rnacentral:lncRNA from 1 species
CGAGAAUCUAAGUGGAGUCAAAGUUCUGCUUCACCAAGGCCCACAAAAUGGGUGAGCAGCAUGCAUGGGUAUGAAGAGGCAAGUAAACUGCAUUGUGUCAUCCAAGUAAAACACAGCACGGCCUCCUGCCACUGACAGACCCUGUUUCCAUAAUUUCUGGAUGAGAAAGCCAAGUCAUGUCAGUAGUUAAUCAGCUCUGGAGGAAAGUGAACACCUAUAAACACGGCAGAAUGCAAUACUUCCAGAAAGGCUUUUAACACCUACAGAAUCUAAACAUUUUGUAAGAGGUGGGGUUAACAAGCUUGUGUGCUAUUUGGGGGUGGGGCUGAGCAUCAGAGGCAAAGUUUUUCGUAAGCCUCUUUCUCUCGAUGGAUUAGGCAGGAAUGACUUUCCUCCAGGGGACGGUCCCAUCUUCAGAAAGUUAAAAGGGUCCAUUUGGGAUCCCAGAGCCUAGCACGGUGCUAUGUACAAAGCGGUGGCCCAAGGUUUCUUGAAUGAAUAAAAAACUCAAGAGCACAGAGAAAAUCUGGCUCUCCCAAGUAAACUGUAAUUUACAUUUUCAUGGGAUUAUAAUAGGAUCUUCAGUGAGUGGAGCAAGAAGAUAGACAGCAGUAAUCCGGAAGGCAGCAUAGGAGUAAUAGCAAAAGUUAAGAGAUGUAGGGGCCACAGUGAAAACAGCUUUGUGACUGUGGGAGAGUCCCAGAAACAGUAUUUCUUUCCUUAUCCACACACGGAGCAUGGCCCAAGAACCCCCAGCUCUAGAACUCUGUUAUUCUUUAAGCAAUAAGUGCUCUGGUUCAAUCAACUGUGGUCAAAGACCACUUCAUCUGCCUCUAAAGCCAUUCCGCGAAUAGUGUGGCCUCUUAAGCUUUUCUCUUAGCUGUACAUUCUCUUGUCAACUGUAGGUUUCAUGAAGCACAUGGUUUCCUUCAAAACAGAACAAAAAACUUUAAGGUAAGUCAUAAGGAUGGUUUCCUCUUGUGAAAAAUGGGGAAGUUAGUCUAUAUCAUGUCUAUGGUCUCUACCAGAUCCAUGAGUCAGAGAAAACAUGAAGCGCAUCACAUUUUUUGGGCAACCCAUAGAACUAUCCUACUCUCCAGCCAUCCUAACUGCCACUGUGCCUGGGGCUGUGCAAUGCUGCUGCCUCCUCUGUUCUUAUCCCUGUGUCUGCUUUGGGAACGCCCCCUUAUCGCUGGGUUCUCAGCCCAGGCAUCUGGGACCUCUGGCUAGAAAUCCUCAGGUAAAGACGAUCCUCCUUCCUGAGUCCUCCCAUUUCACAUCAGGACUUCUAAUCUAACACGGAUCUCAUUUUCCUGAGAAUUUUAGUCUCCAUGCCAACCUCCCUCACUAUAAAAUGAAUUUCUUGCAACAGGGAUCUUACUUGUUUUGCGUCCCCAGUGGCUAGCACAUUUUGUUGAGAAUUCAUUCAAAAUAUUCAGGAGACUCAACCAUAUAAAGAUGGUGCCAAUUGCCCAUGUGCUAUUUGGGCUGCCAUCUGUAGGAUGUGGCUUCAAGUUAGAGCUCCCUUGGCAGUUUUAAAGGAUCCUUGUUAGUAGAUGGUUCCAUUUUUUACUUUGUGCCUACUUCUCAUUUGUGAAUAAAUGUCCCCCCCCAAAGUCAACACUAGUCUAAUAAAAGAAGCAAAGGAAAUGUGCGUUAACAUCUACAUACAAAUUUUGUGAAAUUGCUACUUGUUAGAAUAACAUAAUAGAGCUUAUGACAUAACAAUAUAAAAACAAAAAUGAUUUUUAGUGAGGUCUGAGUUAAUUAUUGCUUUU